rnacentral:rRNA from 1 species
AUGGAGCUCCGCCUGCUCCUCCCCGCCGGCUCCCACGCUGGCCAACUCCGCCAAGCUGCGCCCGGCUCCUGCCGCUUGCCGUUCCCGCCCAAAGCCGGACGGCCGGCUCCGCCACUUGCCAGCUCCACCACCUGUCGACUUCGCCCACCACCCAGCUGCGCCUUCACCCUCACCGGCCCCGCCCCGCGUCGGGGCUCCUCCAGCCGGUCUCGGCUCCGGGCCGCCUCUCGCCCCGCGUGCCCGUCCGACUCCGGGUGGCCGGCUCGCCGCCCCGCUUCCGCCAGCACCUGGCGUGCGCCGUCCGGCCCCCGCUGCUCGCUGCUGCCGCCUUCUGCAAGCGGAAAAAGAAAGAGAAAGAAAAGUCAGAGGCCGGCUACUGCGAAAAAAUAA